rnacentral:rRNA from 1 species
GAUGAACGCUGACAGAAUGCUUAACACAUGCAAGUCUACUUGAUCCUUCGGGUGAUGGUGGCGGACGGGUGAGUAACGCGUAAAGAACUUGCCCUGCAGUCUGGGACAACAUUUGGAAACGAAUGCUAAUACCGGAUAUUAUGCGAGAUUCGCAUGUUUCUCGUAUGAAAGCUAUAUGCGCUGCAGGAGAGCUUUGCGUCCUAUUAGCUAGUUGGUGAGGUAACGGCUCACCAAGGCGAUGAUAGGUAGCCGGCCUGAGAGGGUGAACGGCCACAAGGGGACUGAGACACGGCCCUUACUCCUACGGGAGGCAGCAGUGGGGAAUAUUGGACAAUGGACCAAAAGUCUGAUCCAGCAAUUCCGUGUGCACGAUGAAGUUUUUCGGAAUGUAAAGUGCUUUCAGUUGGGACGAAGUAAGUGACGGUACCAACAGAAGAAGCGACGGCUAAAUACGUGCCAGCAGCCGCGGUAAUACGUAUGUCGCAAGCGUUAUCCGGAUUUAUUGGGCGUAAAGCGCGUCUAGGCGGUUUGGUAAGUCUGAUGUGAAAAUGCGGGGCUCAACUCCGUAUUGCGUUGGAAACUGCCAAACUAGAGUACUGGAGAGGUGGGCGGAACUACAAGUGUAGAGGUGAAAUUCGUAGAUAUUUGUAGGAAUGCCGAUGGGGAAGCCAGCCCACUGGACAGAUACUGACGCUAAAGCGCGAAAGCGUGGGUAGCAAACAGG